GAACGCACCUUGCGCCCUUUGGCCAUUCCGAAGGGCAUGCCUGUUUGAGUAUCAUGAACACCUCAACUCUUCAUGGUUUUCCAUGAUGAGUUUGGACUUUGGGGGGGUUUUGCUGGCCUACGGUCGGCUCCUCUGAAAUAAAUCAGCUUGCCAGUUUUUGGUGGGUAUCAUAGGUGUGAUAACUAUCUACGCUUGUGGUUCUUCCAUCAGGUAACCUUCAGCAGUGGAGGUUCACUGGAGCUCACAGAUGUCUCUCCUCAGUGAGGACAGCCCUUUGAAUGUUUGAUCUCAAAUCAGGUAGGACUACCCGCUGAACUUA
rnacentral:misc_RNA from 1 species